rnacentral:tRNA from 1 species
UCCAUCGAUAGCUCAGUUUACAGAGCGGUGGACUGUAGAUCCGUAGGACGCUGGUUCGACUCCGGCUCUACGGAA